UUUCUCUCACACUCAAAACACAGACUUUCUUUUUUUCUUUUCUUUUUUUCAUUCUCUUUUUUCAUCUUCCCCAAUUACUCUCUCCCUAGCUAUGAAAAUUGGGGAUUAGGGUUUGACAAAGUUCACGAAACCUUUCUUGCAAUGGCUUCUUGUUCGCUACCCAUACUAGAGCGCGCCUUUCUCUUACCAUAGACCACUUCUAAACGCUGGCCUUCUCUCUAUGGCCGGCCUUCGAUAGUAGGAGAUGGAUUUGAACCCAAUGAAUCCACCAAUAAAUCAAUCUUUGUUUCAUAGUCUCUGAUUUUAUUUUACUUUUCACUUUGUUCUUCUUGUAGUAAUUGAGUGCGAGCAUUUGGGGGAAGAUUUAGAAUUUCGAAUCAACUGUGAUGUCGAGGAGCGACGACGUUGUUUCAAGUCACGGGAAGAAGACCACAUUCCUGGACAAGGAGACCAUGGAAAAUUUCUGCAAGACUAUACCAAAUCUAGUCUAGAUGAAAUCGAGGUGAAGUUCCAACUAACUAGGGACACUCUUGAAACAAUGUUGAGGUCAUUAACCUACAUCAAAAAACAACUCCCAAGCAUGUAAAUAACUUUCUUUACUGCUCUUGGGCGAAACAAUGAUGUAUUUCACUGAAUUAUUGAAGGAAUUGUAGACUGCCGCGCUGAUGAGUUUAGGAAUCGACAGGAGAGGAAUAAUAAUUUGAAGAAUUUGUGCAGGCCGAUUUGGAACUUGGCUCCCCAGUAGCAGGGCAAAUGGAGUUGGAGGUCAGGUAUCAGCAAAAACUAGAGCAAACCCAAGUGAGCAACUCUUACAAAUCCAACAGGAAUUAUGAAGGGAGAUGAUACAAUCGCUACAUGUUUAUCCUACCACUGGUUUAGCUAGACUGCUUAUGGAUGACAGUAUUCUUGACCCACAUUGUUGAAUUAGUUUUUAGAGCAUCAUCUUAUCAGUAGUUGUUUUUUAAUUACUUUGUUAGAUAAUUAGAUGAGGAUUGAUAAGGUAUUAGAUACUAGGUGAAUUUAUAGUUUUAUACUCUUAUAGACACUGUCAGGUGGGUCUGUAUUCAACACUAGAAAUUUUAUAUGAAUUAUAUGUUAUUAUC
rnacentral:lncRNA from 1 species